rnacentral:rRNA from 1 species
GGGGAAUUUUGGACAAUGGGCGCAAGCCUGAUCCAGCCAUGCCGCGUGAGUGAAGAAGGCCUUCGGGUUGUAAAGCUCUUUCGCAAGGAAAGAAAACUUAGCUACUAAUACUAGCUGAGGAUGACGGUACCUUGAUAAGAAGCACCGGCUAACUACGUGCCAGCAGCCGCGGUAAUACGUAGGGUGCGAGCGUUAAUCGGAAUUACUGGGCGUAAAGCGUGCGCAGGCGGUUCGAUAAGUCUGAUGUGAAAUCCCCGGGCUCAACCUGGGAACUGCGUUGGAAACUGUCGAGCUAGAGUGUAGAAGAGGGGGGUAGAAUUCCACGUGUAGCAGUGAAAUGCGUAGAGAUGUGGAGGAAUACCGAUGGCGAAGGCAGCCCCCUGGGCUAACACUGACGCUCAUGCACGAAAGCGUGGGGAGCAAAC